AGAUAGAGAAAGAAAUGAAUGGGGGGGGGGGGGGCAACAAUGUUCUGCAACAGUAUAAUGCAACAAUGUAUGAAAUUAACAUAACUGAAUGAAUAAAUAACAACUUCUCUUUUUGGGAGUAUUUCUUCUAACGGGAUAUAAAUCUGAUUCUGAUGAAUCAUAAACGUUUAAAAGGCUGUUAGAGAAUUAGUUCAAAGAAGUUGAGGUUCAAACCGUAAAAAUAAUUAGAAUAUAUAUGUUGUAAUGUGCUUGUAGAACAUGUCUAAAUAUUCCAGCAUCAUAGUGGAGGGGGGGGGGGGCAUUAGUUAGAAUAUUCCCACUCUCACAAUGAAGCAAUGAAAGGAAUGAUGGAGACAUUUUUUUAUUCAUCCCUGACCGACACUUUCAUUAUUGCUGCUGAAUGCGAGUCGUAUUAACAUGGAGCGCUGAGAACAAAGCUGAUUCAUUCUUAAUUCUUUUAUUGUUUCCAGACACAGAGCGCAGAGCCGUUGACAAAAAAGAAACGUUCAAUAGAAUGAAGUGCUCGUGUUAAAGUUCUCCUUCAGAAAACGGUUUUAUGUUAAAACACUCAGCUUAGUGACUCCCUCACUGACUAAAUAUGCAUUUAUGUCCUCCUGCCCCCCCGCUGGUGCUUGAGCCGCGUGCACGACUAGAAACACGAUGCAGCGUCCGUCUCCAUCUGGAAAGUGCUGUUAGCGCCCUUUUGCUGUUAGCGGAUUAGCGUUAGCACUCCUCUGCUAGUUUGAAAAACAUCAAGUCGGUGAGUCAGCAACUUGACAGCGGGGAACAUUUUUAAAGCUGCGCUUCUUUUUUAUGUCUAUAAUUUAUUCGGUCUCGCUGGAGUCUCUGCUGCAGUGAAAGACUUCUAUUCGUUGAGUGAAGUGAGUUCUGAUCGUGAAAAUAAACCGACUGGAGUCUUCUGGCUCCAAGGAGAACAUAUUAACCGUGUGUUUUACACAUUUAUAAACUAUCGUACUCUAUUUCCCAGCUGGUUUCAUUUCCUGCCGACUCAUUUGUUCUGUUUUGCGCCAGAUGUUCUGGAGGUUUUUUCGUGGUGGGAAAGAUGCUUGUUAUGAUGUUGAUCAACCUUCCAACCCUUUCACAUUAAAGUACAGGAGGAACCUUUGUUUCCCUGCUGAGUGAUCUGCUGUCAUCACACCACAUCACCAAGAGAGACGAUCGCGUAAUAAACUUUGUAAGAUAACAGAAUUGGGUCACCGAGCAGCCUGACAGCAAGCCGGCCAUUUGGGACAAUAAGACAUCGACUGUUACGCUGUUAGAGAGACGAGGCAAACUAAAACAUUACAAUCUGUUCUGUGGCAGGCAUCCAGGCAUGCAGGCAUGCAAGCAUGCAUGCAUCCAGGCAAACAGGCAUGCAGGCAUACAGGCAUGCAGGCAUGCAUACAGGCAAACAGGCAUGCAGGCAUACAGGCAUGCAGGCAUGCAUACAGGCAAACAGGCAUGCAGGCAUGCAGGCAUCCAGGCAUGCAGGCAUGCAUGCAGGCAUCCAGGCAUACAGGCAUGCAGGCAUGCAGGCAUACAGGCAUACAUUCUUUGUCGUGUAACAAAUUAAAUAAAACACUUGUCACAUUCUUACAACCAGAUCCUUCUUUGAAAAACAUAAUUGUUCAUCUUUGGGAGGCAUUUGUUUUUGUUGCAGUGAUGCUGAUUUGCGUCGUGUGAUUGUGGUUCUGCUGAAGCCUCCUGCGAGGUCUUUAAGUUAUUAACCUUGCCCCCCCCCCCUCAGCCUCCAGAUGGAUUCUCAUUGUCUGCAAACAUCCAGCAGUCUGAAAAACUCUUCUCGUGGUGGUUUCUCCAGAUUUACACCUUCGGGACUUUUCCAGGAGGACGUUCUGAGAACAUUGUCUGUGGCCCUCAGCAGCGGAUGUAGUCGGAUCCUCAGUAUUGACGAAUGCACAUCAGAUCAAUUCAUAAAGCCGGCAGCUCUCUUCGCAGUGCAGAGACGAUCUCAGAGCGCUGUAGGCGUACCCUGAGAAGCGAAUCAAUCACACCUAAAUGGUGCAAAUAUGAAUCGACCCUCGGGGGGCUCAGACAGACGACCGGCCGUGCGCGGCAUCGCAAGAGGGACGUCGUGAGCAUUUCACCUUCAGCUUCGCCCACGGCUGAGCAGACGGAGCUCCAGACUAGCAUGUCGGCAUCAUUAUCUCACGAGUGUGUGUACUCGCAGUCUUACGGCAGAAACAUAACGUGUUCUCCCCUCAACCUUAAAGGCACUCAUGUGUCAGCAGUAAAAGGGCCGCGCUCCCCCCUCCGAGACAGAGACACCAGGAGACAGAGUCAUAACUCCUCUUUAUGGCCUCCUGCUGCUGCACCAGGUGCUUCCCACGCGGCCGCUCAACAGUUGUGUUUCCCUUCGUCGUUUAGAAAAGCUUAUGCAGAUUUAAGUUGAAUGUCCAAGAAUGACUGACAACAACCCCAAGAGGUUAACAUGGGAAUCAACACACAAACAAUGCAACAAUAGUUUAGAGGGGGCAGGGAGGGGGGGGUGAGAAGAUGUUAUGUUAGCUUCUCUUUGUAGUCUCCAGCCAGACCACUUAUUAUGGACACACACACACACACACACACACGUGGCCCCCAUAAGAUUAAUGCACACUUGCUCCCACACACACAGAAACACUCUGGGGCACUUGCACCAAACUACACCCCCCCCCACACCUUGUAAUGGUCUUUGUUUCCUCUUCCUGUCCAGCUCCGGUGUGAUGGCAGUGCGGCCCCCCGGUCCCCCAGAUGACCGUAGAGAUCGAGCUAACAGAUGAGAGCAGCAGUGAGGCGCUGGAGGUAAUGGUGGCUACAGCUCCGGCUUACAGCCCAUAUUUCUCCCUCGUGCCCCCCCCCCCUCCCCCGUGACACCUGCAGCAGGGAGCUGCUCGUAUUAGAGAGGCGGGUCGCGUAGAGAAAAACAGGAGCAGGCACACAACUUUUACGUUUGUGCCGUUGGUGCAAACAGGGACAAACAUUUAUUUAUGAAACUUGAGAAAUGACGAAGUGCAAAUACAAAUAAACUGUAAACAGAGAUGGUUCAGUUCACAAUGGCACCGUUAAGAGAUUAUAAGUGGAAUAUGACUGUGACAAAGGCAGCAGAGCAGUGGGACAAAGAUUCCCAAAUAUGUGCUGUUGAAUAUCUGUAUGUUAUUAUAGGAUUCCUGAUAUAUAUAUAUAUAUAUAUAUAUAUAUAU
ensembl:lncRNA